CCAAGAAGGACGGGUAAACAAGAAUCCCAAAGUUAAAAACGUUCUAGGCUGCCCUAAACAACCAGGCGGUACAGAAUGUGGAUAUGUGGUCAUGCGUUAUAUGAAAGAUUUAGUUGCGGACGAGGAGAUGAAGCUGCUAGACAAGUGGGCUUUAAAGAGUCGCAAGACUUAUACAAGGGAGGAGCUUGACGUCGUUCGCUAUGAGACGCUUGAUUAUAUCCAAUCCAUCAUGUAGCUGCUUGUGACCGGUAGUACUUGUCUUGCAAUCUAAAAACAGCUCUAUAUAUUUCGCUUGAAUGUUUUCGGAUAUCGUAGCUAGCUAGCUAGUACAGUUAGAACUUAAAAAUCAUGGAUGAAUUAAUGUCAAGUAGUAGUAGUAGUUGAUGUUUGAUGGUUUAGUAUACUGUUGGGAUAUAUUGGUGUUAUUGAUUUUUGGAUGCUAUGGUGGAUGUUAAUUUGGAUGCUGGUGGAUGUUUGGAUGUGUAGUAGAAGUUGGUUAGGAGAAUGACAAUUGGUAUAUAUAUUUGGAGAUUGUUUGGAUGUUAA